GUAGAUACGUACCCUCCGGCCUGGGAUAGUCCACCGAAAGGUGGGGUAAUACCAGAUGAUGUCUCCGGACCAAAGGUGUGAUUCCACCGGGGGAGCGGUCUGCGUCCUAUUAGCUUGUUGGCGGGGUAAUGGCCCACCAAGGCGAUGAUGGGUAGCGGGUGUGAGAGCACGACCCGCGUCAUUGGGACUGAGACACUGCCCAGACACCUACGGGUGGCUGCAGUCGAGGAUCUUCGGCAAUGAGCGCAAGCUUGACCGAGCGACGCCGCGUGCGGGAUGAAGGCUUUCGGGUUGUAAACCGCUGUCAGUGGGGAGGAAAUUUAGGUGGGUACUCUCAUCUAAUUGACUUAUCCGCAGAGGAAGCAAGGGCUAAGUUCGUGCCAGCAGCCGCGGUAAGACGAACCUUGCUAACGUUAUUCGGAAUUACUGGGCUUAAAGGGUGCGUAGGCGGUGCAGAAAGUUGGGUGUGAAAGCCCUCGGCUCAACCGAGGAAUUGCGCCCAAAACUGCUGCACUA
rnacentral:rRNA from 1 species